CAGUAGCCGCGGGAAUACGUAGGUGGCAAGCGUUGUCCGGAAUUAUUGGGCGUAAAGCGCGCGCAGGCGGCCUAUCCAGUCUGUCUUAAAAGUUCGGGGCUCAACCCCGUGAUGGGAUGGAAACUAGUAGGCUAGAGUAUCGGAGAGGAAAGCGGAAUUCCUAGUGUAGCGGUGAAAUGCGUAGAUAUUAGGAGGAACACCAGUGGCGAAGGCGGCUUUCUGGACGAAAACUGACGCUGAGGCGCGAAAGCCAGGGGAGCGAACGGGAUUAGAUACCCCCGUAGUCCCUGUCUCUUAUACA
rnacentral:rRNA from 1 species